AAGACGACUGCACAUGCGUAAUUACUUGGUUCAGACAGCAGGUUCAUUAAUUUGCACGUGGCUGGAUAAGAGCAUGAAGUGGACUGUGAUAUUGUUGCACCUCAAGUAUCGAUAGGAAUUCUCACUGUGGUGCCAGAGGACAGCCUGAUGUCUCCACAAGGUUUGCCAUCGGAGGUCACUGAUGCAGCAAUAAUCUUGGAGGGUGUUAUAGCAAUGGAUGGAAUUGAGAAUGUUCCAUGUGCCGUGUGUCUUGUUUUUGGGCUGAUCUAUGCUUUAAACAUGGUGUACCCUUCACAGCUUAAAAACACUUUUGAGUUCAUUCAAAGGGUUUUUCUUUCCCUGGGGCACAAAUCUCUCAAACCAAAACUGCAGUCACUAAAAAUCUUACUGUUUUAAUGUGUUUCUGAUGGCAGAAAAAAGACCAUGUUACUGUAGGAUCUGUUGCUUUUUUUUUGUUUUGUUUUAAUCAGUCACCUGCCAACCUGGAUACAAAACCAAAACUGAUUCAACUAAAAGCUUUGUAGUCAAGAAUUUGUUCAAUAUGUUUUUAAUAGCAGAAAAAAGACUGUCUUAGGUCUAUUGUUGCACCUUGGGUGUUUUAUCCAGAUUGAUGGGUGACUGAUUAAAAAUCUCAAUACCCGUAACCUAAAAUUUUUUUUAAUCUGUUGUUGUUUCUGAUGGCAGAAAAAGACCAUGUUAUUGUAGGUCUGAUUUUGCACCUUGGGUGUUUAUUCCAGGUUGAUGGGUGACUGAAUAAAAAAAAAUCUGUUUUAUUUAAAAUGUUUAGUAUUUGCAGAAAUAAGGAUUUGUUACUGUACGUCUUUUUUUUUUUUGGUCCUCCAUUAACUUGGGUAUAAAUCCUAGAAAAGCAAAGCUGUAGUUGGUCAACUGUAAUUUUGGUCAAGAUUUGUUCUUUGUAUUUCUGAUGGCAGAAACAAGACCGAGUUGCAGUAGGUCUGUUAAAUUUCUUGGGAGUUUUAAUCA